UACGUAGGGUGCGAGCGUUGUCCGGAAUUAUUGGGCGUAAAGAGCUUGUAGGCGGUUUGUCGCGUCUGCUGUGAAAAUCCGGGGCUCAACUCCGGACUUGCAGUGGGUACGGGCAGGCUAGAGUGUGGUAGGGGAGACGUGGAAUUCCUGGUGUAGCGGUGGAAUGCGCAGAUAUCAGGAGGAACACCGAUGGCGAAGGCAGGUCUCUGGGCCACUACUGACGCUGAGAAGCGAAAGCAUGGGGAGCGAACAGGG
rnacentral:rRNA from 1 species